GGUCAAGAGAGUUGCAUUAACUUGCCUGCCGCCGAUUGUAUGUACCUACAUGCAGGACCAACAGAGCGAGGCUGUUUUGGCCGUGCGACUUCUGAACAUUACUGUGUACCAAAGAAGGGUCAUUGACACCUCGCCCCACUUGGACUAACUGCCCCGCAAGCCUCGUGGGCCUUUUGUUCGACUCAGCUGUGCCAUACAAACGUGAGGGAAGCUUGGGUUACUCCGAGUAUCAAAUGUACAUUUUAUUUACCACCAUUAUAUAUGUUUUGUAACUUUAUUGUACCACGCUGACACGAACAUUUGUACCUGAAAUGUUGAUCCCUUGUCCUAGGGAAUUUUUUUUAAUCUAGAUUUGUACCACAGCUUCGUCUUUGCCAAAGACAAGGGUGUUGUUACAAAUAUGCAUUCAUAAUUUAAUGCAUUAUUAACCAGUCAUCUGAUCGAAAGAACCACGAAUGGCACGAGAAAACAAGUCAUGUCCGUUUAAUUUGCAAGGUCUGAUCAGCUCAAAGUUAAUCGAGUUUUAAUUGUAAAUUGUGUUUUAAUACAUUAAUAUUGAACACAAAAUCUGGUGUUAACGCAGAAGUUUCACGUGUCUCAUGUCUAUAAGACCUCUGUAGUUUCCCUGUGCGUUUGAACAACAAAUUCACUGUUGUUUUAUUGCCAAUUCGUUAUAGUUUCUCUUUGUAAUCAGCUGUGUACUUGCUAGCGAAAGAACCAUUAUAAUUUUCCUAGCAAAUUAAAUGAAGAUUUAUGGUAUUGUAUUCCAUCAAUAUGGCAAGCAAGGCCAUGAGGUGGACACUGUCGUCUGCAGCUCAGAACUCUGGAUGAACAGCCGAACGCAGUUACCAGAGUAACGACCCUUGACCUCUGUCGUUGUCUGUCAUUCUGUCUAAAGCCUAAUCCUAACCCAAACUCCAAAACUGUCUUAACCAUAACACAUUAAAACACACAAGCGCUCCAAACUGAAAAAGUCUGUGUACUUUAUUAUUAUUUCUCUCGACUGUGAGUAGCACACAUAUGUGCUUUCUAUUACAUUGUCAUUGGCUUUUAUUUGUGUACAACGCAUUGAGUCUGCUCUAUAGUGGAGAAAUGCUGAGUCUAUAUAAAUAUAAUUAUUGUUAUUAAACUAGAAGACGGCGCCCGCAGUUCUAGUGAAGCCAGUAAAGUGUCAACGACCUUACUCCGGCAGUAGGCUUUAUCUACUGCUAAUAAUUAUAAUUAGCUUCGGUCAUGUUACCAUCUAGAUAAUGGACGCAUUUAAUAAACUCAAAGACAUAAAUAUUUACAGAUUUACAGACAUACUGUCAAAAUAUUUGAAGGGCUGUCUGUAGGUCGCAUUCUGCAGCUCAGUUCAAUAUUUCGAACUUUAUAAUUAGUAAUAUACUUUGCUCUUUGACCGACGAUGUUAGCUAAAUGACACGAACGCGGAUGUUUGUUAACAAUGUCUAUUUUUGGACGUUUAAUGAUCAGCCAAGAGUGCAUAAUACAUUGACGUCCAAUACACGCCAAUCUUUCAAGUGCAUGUCUGUGAUAUUAUCUCCAACAAUCAUCUACAUCUUGACUGAGGAACGAGAGCUGCUUCCUCGACAUCGACGUCAGUGACAAAGACCGGCGGGUGCUUCACAUCCGGUGCGAGGAAGCACGAUAAAUGUUGUCGCGUCAAUCCUGUGGAAGAGGUUGGCGACGAAGGACGGGUGGCUAUCGUCUUGUAAGCGUCUACAGAUAGUGUGUACUCCCGAGAAAGCCGAAAAAUGUCUUCACAACAUCGUGUAGACAUUUUUUUAAACCACCAUUUUUAAAAUAACUUCCCUUGCCUCUUCCUUUUGAGUAAAAGUUAUUGACAAUGAUUUUUUGUCUCGGUUAAGAAAUGCUUUUUUUUUGGUGGAUGUAUAAUCAACACAGAUGGGUCUGGGCAUUAAAACAAAAUCCGCAAAAUUUUCCAGAUGUUAGUGUCAGCUUCUUUCUCCCGUUCGCAAUUCGUCGUUCGUAAAUUUAUUUAGAGGGUGAGGUAGGAUACAGUUGCAAUAAAGGCAAAUUAAAACAGACAUUUUAUCCGUCACAUGUAUUAUCAAUAAUCAGUGAAUCAAUCGAUGUUGCGUGUGCUCUAGCCAUCAUAUGGUCAAGUAUUACGUAAAUGUAACUAAAAAACAUGAAUAAUAUAACAUUAUUUCUGAAAAAGGAUGCAGGCGUAGACAGGUUAGAGUGAUAAAACCCUGUCAGUUGUUCGCGUGCGUACGAGUGUGUGGGUGUGUGUGAGAGAGUGUGCCUGCGUGCCAAACUUUCGACCGACUUCUGACAAAAAAGCAGCUAAGCACGAGAUGUGCACAGGAAAAGCCAUCUGGCACAAGUUUCAGAGCAAGAUGGAAAGACUAGAUAACUCAAUAUAAACGAUGUAGCCUUUGUGCACUUGGCUCCACACUAACCAGUCUACCAUGCUCGCUGGAAAUGAGAGCGAUUCGAAUUAUUCAACACACGGGAUGCAUUGUUUGAGCAUCACAAAGUAACAAGGAUCCAAGCAUAUUUUUAUCCAUCAAAACGUAGAUAUCUUCUCUAAGAUCUUACACAGGCUCACAUAGAAAACCAAACUAACCAGUCAGUGUCAAUGAGAUAACAUGGGGAUAUUUUAUUUUUCCGCCCCUAGUCUUAAGAUUCCACCCUUACGCAUCACAUUGGCAGCAAACGGUCAGGUAGCAGUUUAGCAGCAACAAUCACUCCAUUACACAUUUUGUGGAACUCUCUCUCUCUCACACACACACACAAGGAGACACUUAAACUGGGGAUGUCUAAAAUAGAAGAAAAAAUUUAGAAUGUACAAUAGGGUUCGGCUGCCAAGCAGCAAAAACAGGUUCACAGUUUUUGACAUAUUCUGAGAUGGAAUUCGUUCAUCCAAGGAAAAUAAAAGCAAAACCAAAUGUCUAUCAGUAAUCUCAUCGCAGUUACUAAAAAGCGCAAGUAAACAAUAAUGUACAAGAAAUAACAAACACACACCUUCACGAAACGUCCUAACAAAUGCUAGAGGCAAACACCUGCAGGGUAAUGAUUCAAGUCCAGCAAGCCCCAUUACCUCGUCAGAUGUCACCUUUGCGUAGGAAAAAGGUCCCUGACCAUAUAUGCCUUUCUCAGCAAGGCAGAGCGCAAACUACGCAGAAAGACCAAGCAACAGGAAUCGUCAAUCGUUUGAAAUUUGCGAGUCGUUCAAGUCUUGCAUCCUAGAAAUGGGCAAAAUGUCACAAUCUAC